GAUGAACGCUGACAGAAUGCUUAACACAUGCAAGUCUACUUGAAUUUGGGUUUUUUAACUUAGAUUUGGGUGGCGGACGGGUGAGUAACGCGUAAAGAACUUGCCUCACAGCUAGGGACAACAUUUGGAAACGAAUGCUAAUACCUGAUAUUAUGAUUAUAAGGCAUCUUAGAAUUAUGAAAGCUAUAUGCGCUGUGAGAGAGCUUUGCGUCCCAUUAGCUAGUUGGAGAGGUAACGGCUCACCAAGGCGAUGAUGGGUAGCCGGCCUGAGAGGGUGAACGGCCACAAGGGGACUGAGACACGGCCCUUACUCCUACGGGAGGCAACAGUGGGGAAUAUUGGACAAUGGACCAAGAGUCUGAUCCAGCAAUUCUGUGUGCACGAUGACGUUUUUCGGAAUGUAAAGUGCUUUCAGUUGGGAAGAAAAAAAUGACGGUACCAACAGAAGAAGUGACGGCUAAAUACGUG
rnacentral:rRNA from 1 species